CCCAGCAUCAGUAAAAACAUUCCUCCGUGGCGUGUUCAUGUGGGUUCCUGUGUGUUUUAUGAGGGGGAGCAGCUGACGUAGCCGAAUGAGAUAUUUCUGGUCACAUCUACUGCUGGGGAGGCAUCAAAGCACUGAGCUUUUUGUGAAGAGCGAUGAGUGGCUCACCGUCCUCGGCGUCGUACUCCCUGCCGCUCCAUUCCUGCCCCAGCGAACGCCAUUCCACUCUGUACUUGAUAAUGGGCACUCCACCCAUGGAGACCGGCUCCUCGAACUCCACCACCGCUGUGCUGGAGAAAGGUUCCACUUGUUGGAUUUCUGGCGAUGAUGGAACCUCUGCAAGCAGAGAAAAAAAUGCACAUUAUUAUUUUUUCUAUUUUUAAAAGCGAGCACUUAGAAAAGCAAAUGAACAAAGCAAAUGUUAGCUUUACUUAAAGAAACAGGAUUUAAUAAACUGAUGGAAGGUAAGUUAUGUGAGAAGAACUUUGUAAAAUCUUCCUGACAAUUAAACUAGACUGUGUGUUCCUGUAGCAGUAGUUUCUAUUAUUCUGGUGUCCUACAUCGUCUCUCUUUCUGUAAAUCUCCAAACGUUCUGUCUUUGGAUGGCGGUCGUUUGGCUUCCAAACCGUCGGGUGACAUUUACCACAGGGUGAGUCAUUCCUCUAGAUAACCAUCAGCCACCACUGACUUCUACGACAAAGAUCCUCUCUGACAUCCAGAAGACGUCAGCAGAAAUGAUUUCAAACCUGCAGAAACACUGAACAUCUUUGUAUAAAAUUUGCAAUUAUCACCCCAAAUCACAGCUAAAGAAACUAUUUUCUGGAACUGUGAACCUUCCUGCUAGAAAAUAGACAUUUAUUCAUUUGACAAAUACUAAAUUACUUCUUACUUUCAUUAAAAUAUACUUAAAUGUAACGGACCAAUGGGUAACAGGUAGAACCAAAUAAAAUGCAAUAAAUGUGUGGGUUUUAUA